CCUACGGGAGGCAGCAGUGGGGAAUAUUGCACAAUGGGGGAAACCCUGAUGCAGCGACGCCGCGUGAGUGAAGAAGUAAUUCGUUAUGUAAAGCUCUAUCAGCAGGGAAGAACAUGACGGUACCUGAGUAAGAAUCCCCGGCUAACUACGUGCCAGCAGCCGCGGUCAUACGUAGGGGGCAAGCGUUCUCCGGAUGUACUGGGUGGAAAGGGAGCGUAGACGGCAGUGCAAGUCUGGAGUGAAAGGCGGGGGCUCAACCCCCGGACUGCUCUGGAAACUGUACGGCUGGAGUGCAGGAGAGGUAAGUGGAAUUCCUAGUGUAGCGGUGAAAUGCGUAGAUAUUAGGAGGAACACCAGUGGCGAAGGCGACUUACUGGACUGUAACUGACGUUGAGGAUCGAGAGCGUGGGGAGCAAACAGGAUUAGAUACCCGUGUAGUC
rnacentral:rRNA from 1 species